AGUGAACGCUGGCGGUAUGCCUAACACAUGCAAGUCGAACGGCAGCACAGUAAGAGCUUGCUCUUACGGGUGGCGAGUGGCGGACGGGUGAGGAAUACAUCGGAAUCUACUUUUUCGUGGGGGAUAACGUAGGGAAACUGACGCUAAUACCGCAUACGACCUACGGGUGAAAGCAGGGGAUCUUCGGACCUUUCGCGAUUGAAUGAGCCGAUGUCGGAUUAGCUAGUUGGCGGGGUAAAGGCCCACCAAGGCGACGAUCCGUAGCUGGUCUGAGAGGAUGAUCAGCCACACUGGAACUGAGACACGGUCCAGACUCCUACGGGAGGCAGCAGUGGGGAAUAUUGGACAAUGGGCGCAAGCCUGAUCCAGCCAUACCGCGUGAGUGAAGAAGGCCUUCGGGUCGUAAAGCCCUUUUGUUGGGAAAGAAAAGCAGCAGGUUAAUACCCCGCUGUUCUGACGGUACCCAAAGAAUAAGCACCGGCUAACUUCGUG
rnacentral:rRNA from 1 species